AUUGGGACUGAGACACGGCCCAGACUCCUACGCGAGCCACCAGUGGGGAAAAUUGGCCAAUGGGGGAAACCCUGCCCCACCAACCCCGCGUGAAGGAAAAAGUUUUUGGGAUUGAAAACUUCUUUGUUCGGGGAGGAAGAAAUGACCGUACCUGAAGAACAAGUCACCGGCUAACUACGUGCCAGCAGCCGCGGUUAAAACGUCUACUG
rnacentral:rRNA from 1 species